ensembl:Mt_tRNA
GUUCCCGUAGUUGAUAACAACAAUGGCUUUUCAAGCCGUAGUCCUUGGGGUCUAUCCAAGCGGGAAUA